UCAUUUUUUCGGGUCGAAAUUUUGAGUUGCACUGAUCUUCUUGAAACUCUGGAUUCUGUUAUUACAUUACAACAUUUGUUGUUAACUGUUGUCAAAAUACAACAUUUUUCUGAGUCUUGAUUUCUGUGCAUUUGCUGCAGAGCUUUUUUGGUGGAGCAGGACCUGCAAGGAAAGAUGAUGGCAGUAUUUUUUUGGGAAAAAAAAAAGUUUGGGGGAUUUUACUAUACAAUAUAAAGAUCUGAAAUGUCUGCAGAGUGGUGUGAGCACUGAGGAUGAGGAGCCCAGAGCUGAAUCCUGGAAGUGGUCCCAUGGAUGAGACCCUCCAUCUCUCCAGCUGCCCUUAUUGCCUCAGAUUGUGAAGCGCAGUACAGCAACAAGCUCUGGGACGAAGGCACAGUCCCCUCUGGUGAAUUCAUCAGAAUAAAGCUGCAGAAUGGACACCACUGUGUUGAGUCGGCUGUAGGAUGUGGUGUUCAGCAGCUAGCUUUUUUGGUGGAGCAGGACCUGCAAGGAAAGAUGAUGGCAGUAUUUUUUUGGGAAAAAAAAAAGUUUGGGGGAUUUUACUAUACAAUAUAAAGAUCUGAAAUGUCUGCAGACUGGUGUGAGCACUGAGGAUGAGGAGCCCAGAGCUGAAUCCUGGAAGUGGUCCCAUGGAUGAGACCCUCCAUCUCUCCAGCUGCCCUUAUUGCCUCAGAUUGUGAAGCGCAGUACAGCAACAAGCUCUGGGACGAAGGCACAGUCCCCUCUGGUGAAUUCAUCAGAAUAAAGCUGCAGAAUGGACACCACUGUGUUGAGUCGGCUGUAGGAUGUGGUGUUCAGCAGCUGUAAAUACAUGCUUGUAGUUUGAAAAAAAGCUUUGUUUCAUGUGUUGUUGACUUGUAUAUGCAUUUUU